GUCUAUGGCCAUGCCACCCUGAACACGCCCGAUCCCAUCUGAUCUCAGAAGCUAAGCAGGGUCGGGCCUGGUUAGUACUUGGAUGGGAGACCACCUAGGAAGGCCAGCUGCUGUAGGCA
rnacentral:rRNA from 1 species